ensembl:lncRNA EPIC1 epigenetically induced MYC interacting lncRNA 1
AAACACGAAGCUCUUCCAGAAACGCCCUCACAGACACCCCGGAAGUCACGUACCCACUCUGUAGGUGCCCCGGGGCACAGGCAAGCGGACGAGCCAGUUAUCCCUCAGAGCUCCUGCUGCCUCGCCCGCUUUCUCUCGGAAACGUGAAGUGUGGCCUCAGCUGAAAGUGAGGUGGGCCUCAUUCAAUCAGUUGAAUUCUUCAAGAGAGAAAAACUGAAGUCCCUUAGAAGGAAAGAGUUCUGCCUUCAGACUGUCUUUGAACUUAAGACUGUAGCGUCGACUCCUGCCGGAAUUUCCAGCCUGCUGGCCAGCUCUGCAGAUUCACACUUGCCAGCCUCCACAAUCAAUCACUGUCUCAGUAUGCUGAGGGGCUGAGCUCCUUAAGGGAAGUGGCCACAUCAUCAAGGGAGAAAGAGGUUCUUAAUGACUGUCCACUACAGCCUCAGUUUUCAGGCAGAGCCCAAUUUGCUGUCUUGGGUAACACUCAUAGAAGCCCUGAGAUGCAGGCAGCUGAGGCGGAGGAACCCUAAGGGCUCAUUGAGAUCAUGGAUUUGCCCUUCUAUGCAUUGAUGGAGCACCUGCUGCCCACAGCGUCUGUAUUUGGUGCUGGGAUGCUGAGCCUCCUUCUUUAUGAAUUUUUAAAAGGACACUGAGAUCUUCAAACAGAGGCUGCCACUCUAAGCAAACAGAUCCCGAGCCCUGGACUCUGAAGCUUGGGCCCAGUUCUCCUUUUCUCCGGGUUUCAGAUCCCACUGUGAAGUGAGGGGGCCCUUCUGAUUCAGGACCCGGGGAAGCCAGGGGCAUGAGCAUCGGUGCCUCUUCUCUAUUUCAAGGACCCUUCUGGGUGUAAAGUUCUCUGAGAUGCCUUACAUGGAUUCCCACCACUGCAAGAUAACCAUCGUAUGUAAAGUGUUAUGACCAGCAGAGCGUAAUUGAAGUGCAUUCCAGAGGGAAAGACAGCGGCUCAGAGUUAUGAGACCCUAAGCAGUCAUGGCCCAGUUCAGCCACUCCCGGACUCCUGACCCAGGGAACCUGUCAGAUGCUUUUUAUGCUCUCUUCAUGCCCCCUCAUGGAAGCUUCGCACACACUCUUGGUUCUGUCGCAUGGUUCCCUUUUGACAUCGGUGGCAUCAGAGGUCCACGGAGGAGCCACAGGACUGCCUGUCGGUCUAGCAUUACCUUGUGCGGCUUACCUUGUCUGUUUUGGCUCCCAAGGCUCCAGAGGGCAGGGCCCAGGGCUCAACCCUCACAUGUCUCAAGAGCUCAGUACACGGCGGAGAUUCCCGGGAAAUGCUGCAGUGAACUGGAUUGUGAGGCAAUGCACAGAACACAGCACUGCGUGGCACCUAGCAGUUAUGACGUUUAUCAUCCCGGGUUUCUACCAGUGCCAGGAGAGUCCUGGGAAAUGAGAGUCCACUGAGAGGUCAUGGGAUGGAAGGAACUCACAGACUUGGGGCACAGAUGGCUUCUCUGUGCCUGUGUCACCCCCGCCUGCAGAUCCCAUGUCCAUCCUGGUGCCCGAGAGUCCCCAUCCUGCAUGCAUGGCUUUGAACCUGCUCUGGGCUAGGAAUGUCAGGCAGUGCGUCUGAGCUUCAGCCUCUCCAUCCAUAAAACAGGAAUAACAUUACUGCCUAUCAGGAUUUCAUGAGGAUUAAAUAAGGCUGAAUGAGAAAGAGGCAUAUAAACUUGAUUUUUACAUGCCUUGGAAUAUAAAUGCUUCUUAAAAAUUUCAGUGAUGCCUUUUACAAUUCUGAAAAGUUAGUAUAAAAAGUUUGCCUGCCCUGCCUUUCUCCUGAGACUGCAUGUGAAAAUCAAAUACAACAACGAAA